ACGGGUGAGUAACGCGUGGGAAUCUACCCAUCUCUACGGAACAACUCCGGGAAACUGGAGCUAAUACCGUAUACGUCCUUCGGGAGAAAGAUUUAUCGGAGAUGGAUGAGCCCGCGUUGGAUUAGCUAGUUGGUGGGGUAAUGGCCUACCAAGGCGACGAUCCAUAGCUGGUCUGAGAGGAUGAUCAGCCACACUGGGACUGAGACACGGCCCAGACUCCUACGGGAGGCAGCAGUGGGGAAUAUUGGACAAUGGGCGAAAGCCUGAUCCAGCCAUGCCGCGUGAGUGAUGAAGGCCCUAGGGUUGUAAAGCUCUUUCAACGGUGAAGAUAAUGACGGUAACCGUAGAAGAAGCCCCGGCUAACUUCGUGCCAGCAGCCGCGGUAAUACGAAGGGGGCUAGCGUUGUUCGGAAUUACUGGGCGUAAAGCGCACGUAGGCGGAUACUUAAGUCAGGGGUGAAAUCCCGGGGCUCAACCCCGGAACUGCCUUUGAUACUGGGUAUCUCGAGUCCGGAAGAGGUGAGUGGAGUUCCGAGUGUAGAGGUGAAAUUCGUAGA
rnacentral:rRNA from 1 species